rnacentral:lncRNA from 1 species
UCGCGGCGCCGCCGACAGAUCGCCGAACGGACAGGGUUUCCCCUGUACCGGACAGAGUCUCCCCUGUACGUUCAAGGCAUAGCAAUCAAUACAAUGUGCGAAGUUCCAACCAGGAACACAUUGCAAUCAAGGAUUGCAUAAUGGAAGGUAUCAAACAACAUAACACAUUCUAUGUUAUUACAUGCAUUCAUAUUCAUCCAUUUUUACAUCACAAAUCUCAUUAGAUUCCAACAUUAGCUUUCACUUAACUUCCAAAUACAAUCCAAUUUAACAUGAUUAUUACAAUCUUAUUCCAUUCAUUUUCUUACAUCUUUAAGAAAAGCCGACUCAGGGUACCGCUAUCUCUGGUCUCGGUGGUAGGGCGCUAACUAUGGAGUUACGCCCUCGCCUCGCGCCGCCGCGCCGCUCACCGUGUGUGAACUGUAACACCUCAAAACCACGUGGGGUGAGAACCAACUCCAUGGUUUCCAGUGGGUACGGCCGACCCAAGGAAAAGCUCGACCAAUAGGUCCAAGGGAGGCAACUGCAAGUUAGUUCAAUAAACAGAUAGAUAAAAUCUUUAUUAUGCAACUAAUAAACCCAUGCUUUGCCUCACGAAUGCAAUAAUGCCAUGCUAUAUACGAAUCAUGCAAACAUACAAGUAGAAUAAAUGAUUUUACUUUGUAUAAUGCUAUCCAUAGCUUUUUCAUAAUUUAUACAUCUUAUCACUUUACAUCAUUGGUUAUUUGCUCCUAAGGUUUUCCUCUACCCUACCAAGCUAAUCACCCGACUCGGUCUCGAGUCAAUCAACUGCGGAAUACCGCACCAAAACUAGGCUCGAGGUGAUGGACGUCUCACAUACACCUCAGCCAUAAAUCCUCUCACUGGAUACCAAACCGUACACAUAAUGCUAUACAUUCACUUGGCUUGACCCAAUCUUACCGUUAACCAUGUUAACCCAAAUGACUCACAACCCAAAAUCCCUUAAUAACGGGGGACUCGAACCUCCCUAGGGACCGUUUCUGGGGGACUUUACCACGCCGAGUGUGACCAACUCCGGAGCGCACCGCCCGAGGGGGACUACCUCCCUCAAGCCAAGACUUAUCGUAAGUACGAUCAAUCCUCAACUUGAGGAUUCAUAGCCACUAGUCACAAUGCCAAUGUCGCAAUAGGUUUCUACCUUUUAAUCAUGCUACUCUAUGUCAAAUGGUCCAAUGCCACUCUUGGUUAAACUAUGUUUAACAACUAUUUCCUCUAUGCAUAUCAAUGUCUCUAUUGUCAAUGUUGCCUUUGUUUACUAAUGUCCAAGUCCAACUCUCACAUUCACACAAUAAUAGGGUUUAACAUACAUGUCCAUUAUGGUUCGAUCUUUCUCUAUGUUCAACUACGUUAGAAACAUGUCAUUGAAAGUAACCAAGGUUCACAUGUACUAGCCUAUUAUGUAUGAAUGAUACAAAUAUAUAUGCUCAAUGCCACAAGUGUUUGCUAGGUUAUAAACACUAGGUUCACACUACACUUGUUCACCUAUGUUCAAUACACUAGGUUUAAUGCCACUUGAUGUCCAACCUAUGUUCUUUGGCACUAGAUUCAUAUCCUCUAUGUCCAACCUAUGUCCAUGACUCUAGGUUUAAUGCCACUCGAUCUAAUGUAUAUAAGAUUGUCCAUAUGCACAUUCCAUUUCUUAACUUAGUAUCUGUACAACAUGAUCAUCAGUAUAUCUUAGCAUUAGCAACAUGCUUGUAUUUAUUAUUUCUACAUCAUGCUUAUCAUACCAUUACUUAGCAUUACUCAAUGCAUUCAUCUAGCACUAUUUACACUAAGUCAUCAUGCAUUCCUCUUAUCAUGUUCUUAUAAUGUUAACAUUCAUAUGCCCUUUAUCUAUGCAUUCAAAGCAUUAAUCACAUACAUUUAUCUAGCAUUUCUAUAAUAUGUUAACAUGCAUCAAUAUGAAAUCUCAUUUCCUAUACAUAAAGGGCGACCUAGGUCGCUUCGGUAAACACAACCCACCUCAUUUCGCGUUCCGAUUGCUUGUCGACACUUGCAAUCGCCGCCCCGGCGACCCGCACUCGGUUUGGCCCGAUCUCUUGCACGACACCCGAACGGCUCCAAUUCACGAUCCGAAAAUUAAAGUAUUCGUUAUGUGCCACGAUGCUUCAAAUCCAUUUUCAUGAAUUUACGAUAUCGCCUCGGCCCUCCAGGCGAAAACGAAGCGCUAAACAUCCAUUUCUUUAAUAACUUCGCAAUGGCUCGACGAAUCGCCGAACGUCUUCCGCCAACGCGUUCGUUUACCUACAUUAGGUUUACGGAGGGUUAAAUGAGAUCAAACCCUCAUAUUUUACAAAAUCCCAUUUUCUAAGCCUAAUAUGAAUAAUCUCCAAAUAAUCCAAAUUAAAUGGAGCAAACAUGUUUAGAAUGCUCAUUAGAGCUAUUAGAACACUUAAGACUAAGGGAUUAAGCCAAUCCUAAAGCUUACCUCAAUGUGAACGCCGCGACGAAAACACACCGCUCAACGGGCCGCACUGAAAGCUCAAUCUCGUCGCCUCCAACGCGUUCGCGAGCAUCUUCUCCACCAACCCCGCGAAUUUGAGAGAGAGAUAUGGAGAGAUGAGAGAGAAAUCUAGAGAGAGGAAUGAAGGUUUCUCUCACUAGCACCAUGCGUGCGUGUGUGUGGGUGCUCGGCUGAAGGAGAGGAAGAAGAAGCUUCAGCUUCUUUAUAAUACACCCGACACUAUCCGUCCCGUGAAGCUCAUUAUAAUACACCUGACACUAUUCACCUCCCGGGCAGCAUGAAAUCUGAUAACUUUCAGCCGGAGCUCCCUGAAUGUCCGUUUGGAGCUCAAACUUGAGAGUCAUGUUCGGUUUUACUUAACUUAACAAGCCUGACGAUCACGUGUCAGUUUCGACCCCCGUUGGUCACUGAAAACUGUACCGAACUGCAAUCUUAUCAGAUAGCUUUCGGAUUUUAUUUCUCACUCUUGGGUGUCAGAAAAUAUGAAAAUUUUAAAUCUACCUCAUAAAAAUAUUUCUGACCAUCUCUGCAAUUUUCAUAAUUUUCUGAGACUGUGCAUUUCUGCUAAUUUAUACUGCCCGUUUUCCACAGAAAAUUCAUAAAUCUUCUGUUUUAAUUCCGAUUUCAGCAAAAGUCACUUCUGACUUAUGUUUUCUUCUAUAAAUCCAAUAAAAUAGUUUCCACACACUAUUUUAUUUAUUUUUAUUUUAUUACCAAAAUCUGGUAUGUUACAUUCUCCACCCUAAAAAGAAUUUCGUCCGCGAAAUUCAAACAACGCCUCAAUUCAGCUCCUUGAGCAAUUGAGGGUACCCACUCAUUCUCCCACUCCAAAGCGGCUUCACACAAUCGUGGUUCCAGAAGCGGCUCAUACUGAGGACAUGGUUUUAAUCCUAAACUCAUUUGGCAAAGUGUGAUACAAACGUGCAUCACGGGUCUUGCAAGUCAUAGUGGCACGCAAGUCGUACUCGACGACUCUACGCGCUCCAACACACUCGCCACUCGGUACGCAAAGAACUCUUCUUUGCACUGGCCUUCCUUUUGGAAUAUUCAUCAAUUCGAUCAGCCGACAUUGCUUAGAAGCAAUAUCACCGGUGCACUCGUUCCGUGCGUGAGUGCUCUAAUUUGGCACUGACCCUAAACGUUAACGUGAGAUGCCUAUCUUAGCACAUCCCCAAUUCCAUCCCUCCAAGUCCACGUGGCUUUACUACUCCGCUCAAGGUCCCACCACAGAGCACUUCAUCUUCUGAUACCAUAUGCCACGGUCAACAUCGAACUACUCGCAACGAGCUCACGCGAAGUGCUUCGUUCGUAAAUUCGAGUCAAAACUCCUCGAUAAGGCCACCUGCCAAAUCGCUCUCUUCGGUCUCUCACAGGUAGACCAAAGGCACCAAUCCUAGGUAGCCUACUAACCUAAACCUGUCUCAAUACGCAGCGUCUCCUCGCCGCAAAUGCAGAGCCCAAUCAUGAUCGGGCGAAAUUCUCACUUGGAAUUCGCACACACUCCAACCAGAGCAACUUAAGAUCCCAAACCACGUCAAGUCCGCGGUGGGUCAUAACUAUACUCGGUGUACCAUCGGUCACACAGUCUAUCGCGUGGCAUUCCACGCUCCCAAGCUUAAACUCGGACGUACCGUCCUGACCAGAACUCCGCCCUACCGCGUAGUACCGGGGGCCACUGUCACCCAAGCUGACUGCACCUGCCCAAAGGGCGCAGGCUCCACAGUCCACAAAUGGUCCAGGCAACAGGUCGUCCCAAGCACUACCCGCCGUCGUCGUCCUGCACGUCCAUACUCUAACCGAGUCACCAGUCCCACGAGUGAUCCAGGUAUCGCUUCACACCUGAGCAAUGCUCAAGUGCUACUGCCAAUACCUCACAUCGGUUGAAUCCACAUCCGUACUCUACGGGUCUCUACACUCGAGCGCUCUAAUGCCUCUACAGCGUUCCACCACGAAGUCCAGCAUUAGGCAAUCUUGCCUAUACACAACGUCGGCCGCACGAGCACAACCGCCUACCUCACCUUGAGGUACUACUAGGCCCACGUGCUCAGACUUGGCCGCUAAUCGACCGUUCUCUCAACAGUGAUGCCACUUUCAUCGUUCGAUCUACCGGAAUGACAUCCGAAAUUUUCGGGCCACUCGGGUGUUCUCAUAUGCAUCAUGGCUCAACUCUCGCGAUUUACAACUUAUAUUGCUCUGAGAGUUAUUUCGACACUUCUAUCUCUACCGCGAGUCUCACUUCUCGCCAUAGAUUACUUCUAGCACUUCGCUAGUGCCAUCUGGCUCUAUACCUGUACUGGCAGGUACUACGCCCUCACAUAAUACAAAACUCCAUUUCUAGAGCAAUCAAAUCUAUCUCUAGAAAUCCACCAUGAGAGAGAGCUUAGAAGCUUACUUCUCCAAGAAGCUCUAACCAAGGAAAAAAAAUGAAGAAGAUGAGGAAGACCUCUUUCUCCUUCUCUUUCUUUCCUUUCCUUCCUUCUUCCUCUUGUCUUCUAGAGAGAGAAAGAGAGAUAUGAGAGGGUGUGUGGGUGAGGAAUAAGAGAAAAGAGCUCUCAUACCCCUCACAUAGCCCCACAUGUUGCAUAAGCGCAAACAAGCCCCUUAACUUUUAUUCCUUUACACUGCCCUGACUGGGCCAUUUUCAGGUUCGGGGACCGGUCUCCCCGACGAGGGACCGGUCUCCGAGAGCUUCUCCCCGCAGUCAGCAGAGCUCACACCCGAUGCAACCGGUCUUUCUUUGGGGGACCGGUCUCUCAGGGACCGGUCUCUCCAGCAGGGACCGGUCUCCGAGAGCUGUCCACCAAGGACUUAGCCGAUUUUUCCUCCCUUUCGCUGUCUGCGCGUGCGGGGACCGGUCUCUCCCACCAGGGACCGGUCCCCGAGAGCACAAAACCUGCAGUUUUGCAGAUUUGAUUUCCAAAGCUCUCGAAGAUUCCCAGUAAUGCACUUUUGCAUUAUUUGACGCCUUCGGCCUUUUUGAAGCGUACCAACCUCGCUAUUUGGUCAAUUUGACCAAGGUUCGAUGUUCGCUUACCGAAGUUUCGGUAUAUUACAUACCCACUCGACAACUAGCCGAUCCUGGACGAAGUCCAACUCUCGGCUCUCGAGAAUUCACUUCAUUACGACCAUGCUAUACCGGUACACCCCUGGCAUUAAAUCGGUAACACAUGUUCCAGAAUCUCGAUUUUUUUUUUUUUUUUUUUGCACCGCUUCGACUCCAAUUCGCGUCGAGCAAUGCUAAAACUAUUCUAACUCUUUUAGAACUCAAUUCUAACCUUUCCAACAUUGUUGGAAUGUUAAUUGAACUUUGCCCAACUACUUCUCUCAACGCACUUUGGUCAAUUUGACCAAAACUAAUCUAACAUGAUGAGGAUUCCGUUAAUUUCUCAAAGAUCAUGAGAGACGCCAAAACUCGCGAAGCUUCCAAUCUCCGCUCGCCUCAAAUUGCCCAGGGACACCACUUGGCCCGUCUCACGCCAAUCUAAAUGAAGAUCGCCUACGCAGUGCUAUCGCUUUCUAAAACGCGACAACUUUAUAAAUCCUCGACCUUCUAGGUCGAACACGAAACACUUAAUACCGACUCAAAUCGGGCGAAAGUCACGCAAGGGCGUCUAUUCUCAUCACUCGACUUCAUGUUGUGUGCACCCAACAUGAACACCCUCUGUUGAGAAUAAACCUCACCUUGAGUCUACCUCUAACAUCCGUUUUAGAGGUUUAUGACACAACCCAAUCAAUUAACCUUUCGCCAAAAGAAACAAGUCCUCGUCUCUCACGAGCCUUAAUCUCCUAUGGUUUACUAUCCUAGGGUCUCCUAGGUCCAACUAAACCAUUUUCUAUUAUUCUUUUAUGUUCUCUUUAUGCUUCUUUUAUUCUCUGAUACCAUCUUAUCUGUCACGCCCCGCGACCGCCCGCCUAUUUGGCCGCGUCGCGGCGCCGCCGACAGAUCGCCGAACGGACAGGGUUUCCCCUGUACCGCGGACAGAGUCUCCCCUGUACGUUCAAGGCAUAGCAAUCAUACAGAUGUGCGAAGUUCCAAAGGAACACUUGCAAUCAAGGAUUGCAUAAUGGAAGGUAUCAACAAAAAUAACAUCCUAUGUUAUUACAUGCAUUCAUAUUCAUCAUUUUUAGAUCACAAAUCUCAUUGAUUUCCAAACAUUAGCUCAUUCAUUAACUUUCCAAAUACAAUCCAAUUUUAACAUGAUUAUUAAAUCUUAUUCCAUUCAUUUUUUACAUUUUAAGAAAGCCGACUCACGAGUACCGCUAUCUCUGGUCUCGGUCGGUAGGGCGCUAUACUAUGGAGUACGCCCUCGCCUCGGCGCGCGCGCUCACGUGUGAACCUAACCCCCAAACCGUGGGGUGAGACAAACUCCAUGGUUCCCAGUGGGGGUACGGCCACCCAAGGAAAGCUGACAAUAGUCCAAGGGAGGCAACUGCAAGUUAGUUCAAUAACAGGAUGAUAUAUAUCUUUAUUAUGCAACUAAUAAACCAUUGCUUUGCUCACGAAUGAUAUAAUGCCAUGCUAUAUACGAUAUGCACUAUUACAAGGUAGAAUGAUUGAUUUUACUUUGUUCAUGCUAUCCAUAGCUUUUUCAUAAUUUAUACAUCUUAUCACUUUACAUCAUUGGUUAUUUGCUCCUAGGUUGUUCCUCUACCCUAGCCAAGCUAUCACCCACUCGGUCUCGAAGUCAAUCAACUGCGAGAAUACCCACCAAAACUAGGCUGGCGAGUGAUGGACGUUCUCACAUACACCUCAGCAAUAAAUCUCUCAUACUGAGUACCAAACUCGUAACAUAAUGCUAUACAUUCACUUGGCUUUGACCCAUCUUACGGUUAACCAUGUUAACCCCAAUGACUCACAACCCAAAUCCCUUAAUAACGGGGGACUCGACCUCCCUAGGGACCGUUUCUGGGGGGACUUUACACGCCCGUGUGACAUCCCGGGCGCACGCGAGAGGGGAGCUACCUGCCCUCAAGCCAAGACUUAUCGUGAGUAUCGAUCAAUCUCAACUUGAGGAUUCAUAGACCACUAGUCACAAUGCCAAGUACGCCAUAGGUUUCUACCUAUUUAAUCAUGCUACUCUAUGUCAAAUGGUCCAAUGCCACUCUUUGUUAAACUAUGUUUAACAACUAUAUCCUCUAUGCAUAUCAAUGUCUCUAUUGUCAAUCUUGCCUUUGUUUACUAAUGUCCAAGUCCAACUCUCACAUUCACACAAUAAUAGGGUUCUAACAUACAUGUCCAUUAUGGUUCGAUCUUUCUCUAUGUUCAACUACGUUAGAAACAUGUCAUUGAAAGUAACUAAGGUUCACAUGUACUUAGCCCUAUUAUGUAUGAAUGAUACAAAUAUAUAUGCUCAAUGCCACAAGUGUUUGCUAGGUUCAUGACACUAGGUUCACACUACACUUGUUCAACCUAUGUUCAAUACACUAGGUUUAAUGCCACUUGAUGUCCAACCUAUGUUCUUUGGCACUAGAUUCAUUUCCUCUAUGUCCAACCUAUGUCCAUGACUCUAGGUUUAAUGCCACUCGAUCUAAUGUAUAUAGAUUGUCCAUAUGCACAUUUCCAUUUCUUAACAUUAGUAUCUCUACAACAUGAUCAUCAAAUAUAUCUUAGCAUUAGCCACAUGCUUGUAUUUAUUAUUUCUACAUUAUGCUUAUCAUACCAUUACUUAGCAUUACUCAAUGCAUUCAUCUAGCACUAUUUACACUAAGUCAUCAUGCAUUCCUCUUAUCAUGUUCUUAUAAUGUUAACAUUCAUAUGCCCUUUAUCUUAUGCAUUCAAAGCAUUAAUCACAUACAUUUAUCUAGCAUUUCUAUAAUAUGUUAACAUGCAUCAAUAUGAAAUCUCAUUUCCUAGACAUAAAGGGCGACCUAGUCGCUUCGGUAAACACAACCCACCUCAUUUCGCGUUCCGAUUGCUUGUCGACACUUGCAAUCGGCCGCCCGCGGCACCCGGCACUCGGUUUGGCCCGAUCUCUUGCGCGACCACCCGAACGGCCUCCAAUUCACGAUCCGAAAAUUAAAGGUUUUCGGUUAUGUGCCACGAUGCUUCAAAUCCAUUUUCAUGAAUUUACGAUAUCGCCUCGGCCCUCCAGGCGAAAACGAAGCCUAAACAUCCGUUUCUUUAAUAACUUCGCAAUGGCUCGACAAAUCGCCGAACCGUCUUCGCCAACGCGUUCGUUUACCUAGCAAUUAGGUUUACGGAGGGUUAAAUGAGAUCAAACCCUCAUAUUUUACAAAACCCCAUUUUCUAAGCCUAAUAUGAAUUAAUCUCCAAAUAAUCCAAAUUAAAUAGAGCAAACAUGUUUAGAAUGCUCAUUAGAGGCUAUUAGAACACUUAGAACUAAGGAUUAAGCCAAAUCCUAAAAGCUUACCUCAAUGUGAACGCCGCGACGAAAACACACCGCUCCAACGGGCGCACGAAAGCUCAAUCCGUCGCCUCCAACGCGUUCGCAAGCAUCUUCUCCACCAACCCCGCGAAUUUGAGAGAGAGAUAUGGAGAGAUGAGAGAGAAAUCUAGAGAGAGGAAUGAAGGUUUCUCUCACUAGCACCAUGCGUGCGUGUGUGUGGGUGCUCGGGCUGAAGGAGAGGAAGAAAGAAGCUUCAGCUUCUUUAUAAUACACCCGACACUAUUCACUCCCGGCAGCUUGAAAUCUGAUAACUUUCGCCGGAGCUCCCUGAAUGUCCGUUUGAGCUCAAACUUGACAGUCAUGUUCAGUUUUACUUAACUUAACAAGCUAACGAUCACUGGUUCAGUUUCGACCCCGUUUGGUCACUGAAAACUGUACCGAACUGCAAUUUUUAUCAGAUAGCUUUCGGAUUUUAUUUCUCACUCUAUGGGUGUCAGAAAAAUAUGAAACUUUAAAUCUAACCUCAUAAAAAUAUUUCUGACAUCUCUGCCAAUUUUCAAAAUUUUCUGAGACUGUGCAUUUUUUGCUAAUUUAUCUGCCCUGUUUCCAACAGAAAAUUUUAAAUCUUCUGUUUUAAUUCCGAUUUCAGCACAAGUCACUUCUGACUUAUGUUUUACUUCUAUAAAUCCAAUAAAAAUAGUUUUCCAUACUAUUUUUAUUUAUUUUUAUUUUUAUACCAAAAUCUGGUAUGUUACAGAUUUCCCAUCAAUACAUCUCCACCUUCAAUAGACUUGUACGUCGAGAACCAUUCUCUAUG